UUUUGUUGGACUAAUUUAGAGUCUUUGAAAAGUUCUUCAGUUUGUUUCACACAAAAUACUAAACAGAUGAAGUUUUCUGCAUGUGUUUUCAGCUCUUACAUUUGAACAUGCUGCAGAGACAGGAGCACAGCCUGGAUUUGGAUUUGGAUUUGGGAUUGGAGUUGCUGUUGGUUUUUUUGCUGGAGUUUUGCUUUCUGGAAUUGUGGUUUGUGUCUUCCAAAGGCGACCAAAAUGGAAUUGUGUUCAAAAUCGACACUCCAACAAUCGAAAUGAAGCAUCUAAGGAUGUCCCUUUGACAGGGGUGAGCUGUCCAGGUAGAGCACAGGGCCUUGUGACAACAGCACCUGAGCAUCAGAAUGGAGAAGAAAACCUUGUGGGGAACAAGACUGUCCAGCACUAACUGAGUUUCCCCUGCACUGAGCCUGUGUCAGGGAGGGGAAGAUCAGGCCAGUAUUGUGGUUAUCUAGUGAUUCCUGGUGGAAUGUCUGAGCUCAGGAUUGGGAUCAACAAUCACUUCCCACUUUGUACAAACCGUCCUGACCAGCACAAUCUCAGGAGGGAAACUCCCAGUGGAACUAUAAUCCCUUUACUAAGAAAACUGUCCAAGUAUUUCAUUCUCUGCAUUAUCUCUCAGCAUUCCUGUUACAGACUGUGUCCAUACCCAAUCUCAGGAAUGUACAGGACCAUCUUUAACAAAAACAGAAUUACCUGGAAAAACUCAGCAGGUCCGGCAGCAUCGGCGGAGAAGAAAAGAGUUGACAUUUCGAGUCCUCAUGACCCUUCGACAGAACUUGAGUUCGAGUCCAAGAAAGA